rnacentral:rRNA from 1 species
CCCUUAGAUGUUCUGGGCUGCACGCGUGCUACACUGAUAUUGCCAAUAUAUCAUUCUUAUCCGAAAUGGAUUGGGUAAUCAAGUAAUGAAAUUUCAUGCUUGGAAUCGGUAAUUGCAAUUUUAUCGUGAACGAGGAAUUCCUAGUAAGCACUAGUCAUCAGCUAAUGUUGAUUAUGUCCCUGCCCUUUGUACACACCGCCCGUCGCUACUACUGAUUGGGUGUUCAAGUGAGAUGCUUAGACCCUUGUUGCAUGGUUCAUUAUUGUGCUCCGAAAGGAAAAAGUUUCAAGCUUGAGUGUCUAGAGGAAGUAAAAGUCGUAACA